AUGGUAAUGGUCGUUAUAAUGAAAACUUGAGGGAUGGGGGUGAGGGAGCUGGUACGGAGGUUGAUUUAGGGUUAUAUUAGAGGAAACCCUAGGGGGAGAGCGAUUUUGGUGAUAAUCGUAUCGAGGGUUUUCUGAAUGACGAUAAGGGAAGGAGAACUGGGAUUUGUGGUGCAAGGGAAGGGAUGGGGAAGGAGGAAGAGG
rnacentral:misc_RNA from 1 species